rnacentral:rRNA from 1 species
CCUACGGGAGGCUGCAGUGAGGAAUAUUGGUCAAUGGACGAGAGUCUGAACCAGCCAAGUAGCGUGAAGGAUGACUGCCCUAUGGGUUGUAACCUUCUUUUAUAAAGGAAUAAAACGAGGCACGUGUGCCUUUUUGCAUGUACUUUAUGAAUAAGGAUCGGCUAACUCCGUGCCAGCAGCCGCGGUAAUACGGAGGAUCCGAGCGUUAUCCGGAUUUAUUGGGUUUAAAGGGAGCGUAGAUGGGUUGUUAAGUCAGUUGUGAAAGUUUGCGGCUCAACCGUAAAAUUGCAAUUGAUACUGGCAGUCUUGAGUACAGUUGAGGUAGGCGGAAUUCGUGGUGUAGCGGUGAAAUGCUUAGAUAUCACGAAGAACCCCGAUGGCGAAGGCAGCUUACUAAACUGUGACUGACAUUGAUGCUCGAAAGUGUGGGUAUCAAACAGGAUUAGAUACCCGAGUAGUC